GACUCAACAAUCUACAUGGUGUUAUGA
rnacentral:sRNA from 1 species